rnacentral:rRNA from 1 species
GUGUUACUGACGCUAAAGCUCGAAAGUGCGGGUAUCGAACAGGAUUAGAUACCCUGGUAGUCCGCACGGUAAACGAUGGAUGCCCGCUGUUUGCCCUUCGGGGUGAGUGGCUAAGCGAAAGCGUUAAGCAUCCCACCUGGGGAGUACGCCGGCAACGGUGAAACUCAAAGGAAUUGACGGGGGCCCGCACAAGCGGAGGAACAUGUGGUUUAAUUCGAUGAUACGCGAGGAACCUUACCCGGGCUUGAAUUGCAGAUGACGGAUCUAGAGAUAGAUUUUUCCUUCGGGACAUCUGUGAAGGUGCUGCAUGGUUGUCGUCAGCUCGUGCCGUGAGGUGUCGGCUUAAGUGCCAUAACGAGCGCAACCCUUCUCUUCAGUUGCCAUCAGGUUAAGCUGGGCACUCUGGAGACACUGCCACCGUAAGGUGUGAGGAAGGUGGGGAUGACGUCAAAUCAGCACGGCCCUUACGUCCGGGGCUACACACGUGUUACAAUGGCCGGUACAGAAAGUCGGAUGCCCGUAAGGUCAUUCUAAUCAAGAAAGCCGGUCCCAGUUCGGACUGAGGUCUGCAACCCGACCUCACGAAGCUGGAUUCGCUAGU